UACAUAGGGUGCAAGCGUUAUCCGGAUUUAUUGGGCGUAAAGAGUUCGUAGGCGUCUUGUUAAGUUCUGUUUGAAAUCCCGAGGCUUAACCUCGGAACUGGAUGGAAUACUGGCAAGAUCGAGUCUGUUAGGGGGUACUGGAACUCACGGUGUAGCAGUGAAAUGCGUUGAUAUCGUGAGGAACACCAAGGGCGAAGGCAGGUACCUGGGACAUGACUGACGCUGAGGAACGAAAGCUAGGGGAGCGAAAGGG
rnacentral:rRNA from 1 species